GAGCGCUCAAGUUUAUCUCAAGAGAUUAUCUCAAGCGCUGUUGCCGUUUCACUUAUGGCGUCCUCCACGGAUUUCUCUUGCGUUGUAGUUGUGAGUCUGUAGGAAGAGAGAAAAGAAAAGAAGAGAGCUGCCAGCAAGAAGUUGCUGCGCAUCACGGAUCAGUGUUAUUUUCUGCAGCAUCAAAUAAAGACGCGUUUCUGGCCUCAGUAUCGGUAGUGGCACUUGCAUUAAAUAAUUAAAUGCAGAAUCGAAUUUAAAAUCAUUGAUCCGUGUUCUCAUUCAUAUUCCUGUUCAUAAUCCAGUGUCGGGCGUUGCUGGUGCUGGCGUCCUGAUCUUGGACAGCCUCAGUGUCGCCCUGGGGUACAGCUUGUUCAUUAGAAACUAUACUCGGGGAAUUGAGUGAUUCAUUCGAAACGGACACUUCGAUGGCCGCCGCGUUCCGUCUCGCUUCCUCACCCCCUCUCAAGUAUGUUUCUUCGGUUUCGGUCUCUGGAUGUUGUUUAUUUGUGACGUCGGCCAUAAUUGUUUGCCCUCGAAGGGCGUGGCAUGUGCGGCUGUUUGCAGUGGUGUCCAGAUCUGACGGGUAAGCUUGUGUGUGUGUGGGGAUAGUGAGGCUUGUCUGAGGGUGCGUAGAAGCAAGUGUGUGUGCAUGUGUUUCCUUAUCUGGCUCUCCCACAGUUAAAUCAAUAAUUUCCAACUGCGCUGUUUGUGCUUCAGCAAUAAAUGUAUUUAUUGCUGUUGCUGCUGUUGCUGUAGUUGUUGUUGUUGACUGCUGCUGUUGUAUAGCAUUCACCCCCAUACUUGCGCGUUCUCUUGCUCUGACCAGUAUAUCAGUGACAAAAUAUGUUGGUGGGUCUCUCGAUAAUACUUCCUGAGGGGGGGGUGAGGGCUCUUCAUACCCUUCAUAGCCCAUGGCUCGCAUUGCUCUUCUGUUUGACGCAUCAGCUCUGUCUCUCCAAAUCUGUUCGGAUUCCGUAUAUGGCCGUUGGUAGGGUACAAUUUCCCUUCGUUUCCAUUCCUGUCUCUCGAUUUCCCUGCAUAAGUGCGUGUUGAGGUAUUCAGAGUAUCGAGGUCUUGUUAAUCUCCGGGGGACAUAAGGGUCAAUUAUCACCUCUGCAGCUUCAUGAUUUGGGUGCGUUCUCAUACGGUCAACAUACCUCCUACAAGCUUUAACAUAAACCUCAUCCACCGUCUCAACGCCUAGGUCCCGGUGGAUGGUGUCGUUACGAACAUACCAUGGGGCGUUGGUAAUUGUCCGUAGCGUUUUGUUUUGUUCUGUUUGUAUGCGUCCAAACUCGAGAUUAGAGGCAAGGGGUCCCCAAACAGGCAGUGUAUACUGCCAGAUAGGUGCAAUAAUUUGCUUAUAUAGAGUAACCCUUGCAUUUAGGCAUAGCUUGCUAUUGCUGUUCAGCAGCCAGUGGAGUUUUUUAACUCUAGCUUUGAUUUUAGUCAGAGUUGCCGUGAUGUGGUGAUGGCAUAGCAGCUUAGUAUCAAGACGCACUCCGAGAUAGGGGUGAAAUGUGACAGUUUGUAGGCUUUUUCCAGCAAUAUUGGGAAUGAAUAUACCCUCAGGCUCCAGGGUAUUUCGGAGUGUAUGGAAGACGUGCACAGUUUUAGAGGCAUUGAUAGUGAUGCCCCAUUUUAUGGCCCAGACAGAUAUUCUGCUUAGGAACCGGUUCAAGCUGGAGAUGGCUACGCGCUGGGUACAGCCCCUGGCUAAAAUGGCUGUGUCAUCUGCAUAGGUUGCCAGCAACAUAUUUGGGUCACAUGGGGUGGGCAUAUCAGCCGUAUAUAAAUUGUACAGGACAGGCCCCAGUACACUACCUUGGGGGACACCAGCCAAGACAACCUUUUCUCCAGAUUUGACUCCUCCUGUGCAUUCUACCGUAAAGGUGCGUCCGUCCAAAUAACUGCUGAGGCAUCUGUAUAGUGCCGUCGGAAGCAGCUGUCUCAUUUUGAAUUUCAGUCCAGUAUGCCAGACCCUGUCGAAAGCCUCUUGAAUGUCCAUAUAAA
rnacentral:lncRNA from 1 species